CUUUUCUUGAUCACCUCUUCCUGGAGGAGACGGGUCAGGGCUUCUGUUGACAUCCAUACACUCUGAUGUUACUUUUCGGUGCCUCAGUGUGUAAGUAAAGAGAAUAUGGUAAGACAACAAGGUCAUGAUAAUAAAAAUGAAAACUUUCUGCUAGAAGCCUGUGGACGAUGUCCCUAGCUCCUUUGCUCAUGUUGGCUGUAUGGGCAGGAUUCAAUUACAAGCAGAGACAAAGGAACACGUAGUUAACUACUGGAGCUCAGGCUGACAAAAGGAUGCAGCUUCAUUUCCACUUUGGGAGAGCAGCUCAGUGAACUUCAUCUUCCUACUUUACCAUGU